GAAGGAAGUCAAUAUAUUUUGGGGGGAGGGAGUACAGUAAAGAACAGCGGCAAAUUCAAGCUGUGUAAAGUUGAUCUAGUAUUGUAAUCAUUAAUCUAAAUUUUUCAUAGAUUUUAACUUUUCUUCAACCUUGCACUCACCUGUUCAACUGCCACAUGCAAGUGUAGUUUGAUAUUUUUGAUAUUGCCUUCUUAUGUAACAUUAAAUUUAAUUUCUUGGCUACCGGCAGUCCUUGUUUUCAGGGUUGGGAUAGAGGUGGUUUUGAAAGGUUUAAAUGGCUUGUGCAGUGUUAAGGAGUACCUAACCCAAGUAACACCAAUCUACUGUGUUUCUACGCUACUUCAAACUAGCUGUUUAAGAAAUAGCAAUGCUUAGAAUUAUUUGUGCAUCUUAGUCAGAAGAUGGUGUAUGAUUUAUGCACCUUUCAGAGAAAAGGCUUUAAACUAUGAAAGGGUAUAAUUAAUCUGUAUGAACAGAUAAUUAGAAAAUGCAGGUUACAAGUGGUAGAACCAGUAAAAAUAUCCAUAACAAGGCUGCCUUCUAUUCUAAAUGUUAUAUUUUGUUAUAAACACUUAGCAAAACCCAAGUGCUUGGUGCCAAGACUUUUAUUUUAGCGAAGGAGAAGCAUUUGUUGCCUUCUGCUCAGUCUGCUGCAUUCCCUUUAUUUUUCUUUUCUUUUCUUUUCCUUUUUUGGUCCAAGAAGGCCCGAUCUCUUCUUUCUGGCUUUUCCACAUAAGGAGUGUCCGGACAAAUCUACAGCUUAAACCUGUUGUCGCCUUUUGUGGUAUACGUUGUACUUGCUUUGAGUUUCCUAGUCCAACUGAAAAACCCAGAACCACUUGGCAAAGGCCACUGUGGCCACAGCGGGAGAGAUCUCCAUAAGCCACACCAUCCUGGGCUGCAAAAGCCAGAUGUGCCCCAAUCUCAUCAUCACAAGCAAGGAGGGCAAGAAGAUCGUGAUCAUGGAUGUAACCAUCCCCUUCACUGAUGCCUGGUCUCACAAGCAGGAGAAGUAUGCCCCACUAGCCAACAUCCUG
rnacentral:lncRNA from 1 species